rnacentral:rRNA from 1 species
CACGUAGGGCGCAAGCGUUGUCCGGAAUUAUUGGGCGUAAAGAGCUCGUAGGCGGUCUGUUGCGUCCGCUGUGAAAACCCGGGGCUUAACCCCUGGCUUGCAGUGGAUACGGACAGACUAGAGGUAGGUAGGGGAGAAUGGAAUUCCCGGUGUAGCGGUGAAAUGCGCAGAUAUCAGGAGGAACACCGGUGGCGAAGGCGGAUCUCUGGGCCUGUCCUGACGCUGAGGCGCGAAAGCUAGGGGAGCGAACAGG